rnacentral:rRNA from 1 species
AUUGAACGCUGGCGGCAUGCCUUACACAUGCAAGUCGAACGGCAGCACGGGAGCUUGCUCCUGGUGGCGAGUGGCGAACGGGUGAGUAAUGCAUCGGAACGUGCCCUGAAGUGGGGGAUAACGUAGCGAAAGUUACGCUAAUACCGCAUAUUCUGUGAGCAGGAAAGCAGGGGAUCUUCGGACCUUGCGCUUUUGGAGCGGCCGAUGUCGGAUUAGCUAGUUGGUGGGGUAAAGGCCCACCAAGGCGACGAUCCGUAGCGGGUCUGAGAGGAUGAUCCGCCACACUGGGACUGAGACACGGCCCAGACUCCUACGGGAGGCAGCAGUGGGGAAUUUUGGACAAUGGGCGGAAGCCUGAUCCAGCCAUGCCGCGUGAGUGAAGAAGGCCUUCGGGUUGUAAAGACGUCUUUCGGUCCGGGGAAGGAAAGUUAGCACGGGUUAAGUACCCUAGUGUAGAUGA